UCUGAACUGAGCCAUACAUCGCUACAACAAUCUCACACGCAACCAUAAUUUCUUUCGUAUCUGUUAUAGGCUUCUUUCUCUCUCCCAUUUCUUCUCACUCUCUCCAUUUUCACGCACAAACUAUCGUUCUUCUUUGUUUCACUUCCCCCACAGAAUCACUUCUUCUCUAUUUUCUAUUUUUCUCUGACGAUUUCUUUAUAUAUACUGCUUAAUUUAGCUAGAGAUACCAUUCAAAAAAUCUUAAUCUUUUGUUUUUAUUUUCUUUUGUAGAGGUUUGAAGUUUUCAUCGCCGAGAAAGUAUACGAUCGAGAGGAUGAUUGAAAAAAGAGUUUUGGGUUUCAACUUUUCAUUGUCUAAUAUAUGAGAUUGAGCAAGAACUUGGUCGAAAUAUAACCAAGCAAGAGUCUUAUCUAUUGGGUUUGUUGAUCCAAAAAUGAUAAUUUUCCUUUUCCUUUGAUGCAUUUAUUAUUUGUUCCACGUAUUUUCAUCUAGAACUUUCUGGCUGUAGAAAGGUUUGUUAUUUUCUUUUUAAAAUUUUUUUUUAUAAAUUUGGUACAUUUAUUUUUGAACUUUUUUCGAUCUGAAAUGUUCAAAUGUUUUUUAUUACUGAACGAUCUCCAGAUGCUUAAGGAGCUCCAAACUGUUAUCAAAUGAGGCCCAUCCUAUUUGUUGCCAUCACGCUGCGACCUCCUGCAAAGUUAAUUUAAAGCCCUUUGUGCAGUCAAGUACAGGUUCCCCAUUUCGCUUGACAAUACAUCUUUGCGAUCAGUAGUUGAUUCUAAUUAAUUUGACUAUUUUAUUUGGAAUUUUAUGUUUCUCCUGUGAAUUCUAGCAAUUGAAUUUGAUGUGGAAGCUUUUUCGUAUUUGAUUCCGAUUAACUAGAAUAUUAUAUCUGCAAUUUUCUCUUCCUUUUUAUGAAUUGUAGCUAUUGGAUUUUGUGUGGAUACAUUUUUGCAGUUCGUAUUUGAUUUUGAAUAAUUAUACUGUAAUUUCUCUUGGCAUCAUGAAUUCAAGCAAUUGGAUUUUGUGGUGACAUUUUUCCGACCAGUAGUUGGUUAUGAUAAUAUGAUUGAUUAGAAUGUUUCAUCCGCAAUUAUUUCUUCCCUUAAGGAACUAUAGGAAUUGGGUUUUGUAUGGAUACAUCUCUACUAUUGGUAGUAGAUUCUAACAAAUUGGAAUUUAUUUGCAAUUAAAAUAAAUGAACUGUGUUGGUAACUCCCUAAACUUCAAAAAAUUAUUUUUAUUAUUCUUCUCGGGACAUUUGCACAUUUUUCUUCACAAAUAAAGCAAGAGAUGUACUCGACUACAUGAUGUAGUUGAACUUCUGAUAUUUUUACCUGAUGUUGAGAUCUAGCCUACGUUCUAAAGUUCUGUUGGUGCACAUGAUCUUAACGUGACACAAUCAUCUAGAUCCAGUAGUUAAAAAAGAUACAUGGGCUGAAGAGAAAUUAUUAGUCCUGGCUUCUUAUCACCAAUUAUAUGGAAAUAAAUGGACAAAAUCGCAAGUUUGUUGUGUAAAUUUUCUAAUAGCUCGAUCGUACUUGAUUUUAACAUAAAAUUCUACAUUUUAUCAUUUUCUUCUAAUAUGCUUUUUGCUGGAAGUUCAGUAUCAUGUUCAAAAUUUUUCGAGAUUGUAAUAUAUCCUCUCUUUUUGUUGCUCUGUUUUCUUCUCUGCUUUGAUAACCUUGCCCAUAUUAUUAAUUUUCUUGAACUGUUCAAUUAAAGAUGAUCGCUGAAAUUGAAAUGCUAAUGUGCCUAUGGUCGACUAAGAUCUUGCUUGGGUGGGCAACUAUAGAUAUGAGAAAGAAAAGGUUUAACAGGCUCACUCUCUUAUAUUUAUAAUCUUACUUAUAAGCCACCCUAAACAUGCUCUAAUUUGGUCUCUUAACUCAUGAUGAUGGGAAAUCAGUAUAUAUGUUAGGCAUAUUUUGUGUUUUUAUCUAGCUUUAGGAUCAAUUCAUUGUAUAGAGUAAAGCAAAUGAUAGAUGGUAUCCCUUUUUAAUCUUAUCGAAGAGUCAUUUGGAAGAGACUUUUUUAUCCAUGUGAAAUUUUGUUAUUGUUUUGACGAACUUGACUAUUCCAAUAUGAGAAUUUGGAAAAGAAAAAAUCUGGUAUUUAUCGUGUUAAAGAACUGAAAUUACAGCAUUAGCAUACUGCCAUCAAAUACAUCAAUGGCACAAUGGUAAUUCUAUAAUCAUUGCAUUUCAUCUACUUCUUUGUCAUAUCUUUUUUGCUUGGAGAAAUCACUUCCACCAACUAUUUUGCACCUGCUGCAUCCCAUGUGUUAUCAAAAUCCAAUGCAUAUAUUGUAAAGUAUAGGAAAGGGCUUUGCCACAAGCAUUACUCCAGUUACUCUCGGUUUGACACAUCUUUUACUGAAAAUGAUCACAGAGAAAUAUGUGUGUGUGUGUGUGUGUGUGUGUAUAUAUUUGUUGAUAUUUUGAACACAGUAUAGCAGUGUAUCGAUAUCUUGUUUACAUGAACUGAUGGGAUUACAAAGGAUUUCUUUUUCUAUCUAAUAUUUCUCUCAGUAGAUUUAGUGGUAGAUUGAAUGAACCAAAUCCAAAUCUAUCAAAAUACAUCUUAGUUGCAUUCCAUUUUAUAGACGUUAUGACAUGUGUGAGCUACUAAGGGAAUAUUUACUUUCUAGGUAUUGCUUCCAAGUAAUAUAGCAUUUGUGUUUAGUCACCUUCUUCCCACUUUUCCAUGAUCUGUCCAUCUUUCUACUUUAGCAUAUUUGGCCUAAUACAAAAUUUUCUUUUAAUUGUACAAGGAAGUUCAUGGCAAUGUUGAUGUUCCGAAAUCAAAUAUAAUUCAAGCAUGCAAAAGCAUUGGUGCUUUAAUGCCAUCUUUCCAUUCUUUAAUUAUUUUAUGAGAAAUUGCAAUUUUUGGAGCUUAACUUGUCUAAAUUACUUUCAUUUGUUUAUGCUUUCUUCAGUUGCUAGAUCAGAGGGAGAGCAUAAAUGGACUAUAUUUUCCAUAAAUAUUAGAUAGGUAAAAGAAUAAAUCUUACUUUACUUAGAAUUUCAUUUGUGGGUAAAAAUUCAAUCUUGAAGCUUCAUUUUGCCCACGAGUAGGAGACCUGACAUUAUUGAAGAGUUUGCAGUGUAGCAAUAAUGGAAGAGUGAUUCGCAAUUUUUUUGUAAUGUUUUGUUUUUUCAAUACAAAUGUUUGUAAGUUCUCUAUAUAUCUCUCUGUGGUUGUCUUAGUUUCUUGAAUUCAUUCAUGAGGUGUUUUUUGUUAAACAAACUUGAAUUUAUUUGUGGGUUCUUCUAUUAAGUCACAAUGUUCUAUACAUUUGAAAUCAGAAUUGACAUUGGCAAGGCCAACUUUAUUUUGGUCUUUGAGGCCCCAUAUGCUUUUCUCCAUGUCUCAAGUGUUCCCAUUUGUAAUUUGUAGCUAACACCUUAAUUUUCCUCCUUUCCUUUAUACAUUGCUUCUCUCGACAAAUUUAAGGCAUUUGUAUAAAUGCCAAAUGGGAAAUAUUUUGUUUCUCGAAAUAAUAUAUUUUCUUGUGAUUGUUGUAAUAUAAAGCUGAAUUUUUCAACUUCUCAUUGUAAUAUAUAUGUUCCUGUCUAUGAAAAUUAUACAGGGAAAUUUCAAGUACAUUGUAUAUUGAUGGUUGAUUCAUUUUA